rnacentral:rRNA from 1 species
CGAACGCUGGUUCCGCGCUUAAGAGAACAAGUCGAGCGAGAACCAGACCUUCGGGUCUGGGGACUUCGCCCAACGGGUGAGUAACACGUGGGUAAUCAACCCUCGGUACUGGGAUAGCCCGGGGAAACCCGGAUUAAUACCGGAUGGCCCUUUGGAUCCUCGGAUCUGAAGGAAAAGGUAGCUUCGGCCUCCGACCGAGGACGAGCCCGCGGCGGAUUAGCUUGUUGGUGGGGUAACGGCCUACCAAGGCGGCGAUCCGUAGCUGGUCUGAGAGGAUGGCCAGCCACACUGGAACUGAGACACGGUCCAGACUCCUACGGGAGGCAGCAGUGGG